AGGCACUCACCACCCCGUAUGCUUCCUUGAGUGUUUAUUCAGAAAAAACUGAGCUUCAUCUUAGCUCCGGCCUCCCUUCUUCUUGUGAGCAGUCUCUUUUGACCCAAAGACUCUCACAAACCAUGCUUAGAACCUGCUAUUCUGCAAACAGUUGUCUUACAAACCAAAACAUCACUGGGAAAUGGAAGUUGACCUGCUCUAUUGCUUUUCUGACACAUUUCUGUGCAUACCUACCAGCAAAAAGAAAAGUGGAAAUAAAGGGAGGAAGAGGAGGAAAAGGAAAGACGGAUUGGCCUCCCUUGAGGGCUCUUUUUACACUUAAGGCCAACAACGUGGCCUGGAGUUCUUGUUUUCUCAUGCAAUUUGUUGAAUAGUAUCACUUUUCACAAUUACUACAUAUAAAAACAUUUUUAAUCGAAGAAAUAGUAUAUUUCUUGUUUGUGAAUUUAUAGGAACUUUUUAAUUUAUUUGUUCAAUUAGCUUCCUCUGUCUUUGUCUAUUACAAUACUAAGUUAGUUUACCAAUUGUGCUUCCAUUUCGUCAGAAUUG
rnacentral:lncRNA from 1 species